GACGAACGCUGGCGGCGUGCUUAACACAUGCAAGUCGAACGGAAAGGCCAUGCUUUUGUGGGGUACUCGAGUGGCGAACGGGUGAGUAACACGUGAGUAACCUGCCCUUGACUUUGGGAUAACUUCAGGAAACUGGGGCUAAUAACAGAUAGGAGCUCCUGCUGUUAGGUGGGGGUUGGAAAGUUUCGGAGGUUGGGAAUUGCCUCGCGACGUAUCAGAUUGUAGGUGGGGUAGUGGCUUACCGAGGUGUCGGCGCAGAGCCGGCCUGAGAGGGCGGCCGGCCGCCCUGGGACUGAGACACGGCCCAGAGUGCUAGGGGAGGCAGCAGGAGGGAAUCUUCGGCAAUGGACGAAAGUCUGACCGGGCAACGCCGCGUGAGUGAAGAAGGUUUUCGGAUCGUAAAGAUGUGUUGUAAGAGAAGAACGGGUGUGAGAGUGGAAAGUUCACACUGUGACGGUAUCUUACCAGAAAGGGACGGCUAACUACGUG
rnacentral:rRNA from 1 species